rnacentral:lncRNA from 1 species
UUGUGAAAUAAAAUAAGUUUGAUGUUUUAGGCAAUUUCAAGAGUUUUGUAAUAGAUCUGUAAGUAAAAUUUUGUAGAUUAAUAAUUAUAAUUGUGCUUAAUAUGUGUUAUAAAUUUUAGCUUGAUCUAAUAAUUGAAUUGAGUGUUAUUGAGGUUUAAGUGGGCCAAGGUCUCAAAAAAUAGAAUUUUAGGUCCAGUGAGGGUUUUUAAGAUUUUUUACAAUCUGGUAUUUGGAUUGGAGUGAAAUUUAUGGAUAAAGAUAGUAG